AUCAGAAUCCACGUUCUGCUACUUAUUCAUUUAUGAGCUUUGAAGGUUGUUUCCUCACCUGUAAAAUGGGAAAAAUAAUGGUGAAUACCUUGUUUCUGCCUCUAGAAGUUAAGUACCUGAAAGCCUGUACCUGUGGCCUUACGGGGAAUUCCUUACAAUCAAUUGACUGAGAAAAAGAAAAACUUGGGCCUGGCUUACAGAUGUUUCUUCAUGAUAUGCAGGCACCAUCCAAAAGUGGACAGCAGCAGCAAAACAGCCCCUUUCUGGAACAUCCCUGAAGGACAACAGUAAAGAGAUCUUAGUUCCAAAAUGAGGAACGCUUCCCAUGGUUCCGCUGAACUGGAAGUUAAGACUGCCACAGAGAUUCUCAUGCCUCUGAAUCAACAGAUGAAGAAGAGCAUUACUCUAUUGGCUGGGGUGAUUGAUCCUGAUUACCAAGGAGAAAUUGGGCUGCUACUACACAAUGAAUGUAAGGAUGCUGCGCCUGUGCUAGGGGUUUUCACGUGCAACAUGGUAACAUUUUUACUAACCUAAAAAGAUGGCACUUUCAUAUUACAUUGAGAUAAAGUAACAUAUUAUCUCAUUCAAUCCUCACAUCACCUCCUGCAGUAUUUUUAUAUUUCACUUUAUACUGACAGAGCAAUGAGGCUCACAGAAGUUAAUAACUUGCUAAAGCCUCAGUCAAUCAAUCUCGCUCAAUCAGUAUCACUCAUGCUCCAUCCCCUCCCACUCUCUUGUCUCCCCCACCCCUGCUCUCCCUCAUCCUCUCUCUGUCUCUGUCUCUCUGUCUCUGUUGCACACACACACAAACACACACACACACAAACACAUGGCCCUUGGAGGAUGUGUGCUCUCUGCCCACCCCAGCUCUAGCCCCAUGCCCCCUUGCCAAGAACCCAGUUUGAAGAUGGAGCAGGGGACAUUCACUCAUUGCUCCCCCUCCCCACCCCAGUAGCUCACUGGUGGGAAUCUUCUGGGUCUGGGAUCCCUACUGCCCAACCUUCUCCAGCCUUGGCUUCCAGCUACCCCCACCCCUCACCCCUGCUGCUCCAUUUCC